rnacentral:rRNA from 1 species
ACGCGAAGAACCUUACCAAAUCUUGACAUCCUUUGACCGCUCUAGAGAUAGAGUCUUCCCCUUCGGGGGACAAAGUGACAGGUGGUGCAUGGUUGUCGUCAGCUCGUGUCGUGAGAUGUUGGGUUAAGUCCCGCAACGAGCGCAACCCUUAAGCUUAGUUGCCAUCAUUAAGUUGGGCACUCUAGGUUGACUGCCGGUGACAAACCGGAGGAAGGUGGGGAUGACGUCAAAUCAUCAUGCCCCUUAUGAUUUGGGCUACACACGUGCUACAAUGGAUAAUACAAAGGGCAGCGAAUCCGCGAGGCCAAGCAAAUCCCAUAAAAUUAUUCUCAGUUCGGAUUGUAGUCUGCAACUCGACUACAUGAAGCUGGAAUCGCUAGUAAUCGUAGAUCAGCAUGCUACGGUGAAUACGUUCCCGGGUCUUGUACACACCGA